rnacentral:rRNA from 1 species
CACGUAGGGGGCAAGCGUUGUCCGGAUUUAUUGGGCGUAAAGAGCUCGUAGGCGGCUCAGUAAGUCGGGUGUGAAACCUCCAGGCUCAACCUGGAGACGCCACCUGAUACUGCUGUGGCUAGAGUCCGGUAGGGGAGCGUGGAAUUCCUGGUGUAGCGGUGGAAUGCGCAGAUAUCAGGAGGAACACCGGUGGCGAAGGCGGGUCUCUGGGCAGUAACUGACGCUGAGGAGCGAAAGCGUGGGGAGCGAACAGG